rnacentral:misc_RNA from 1 species
GUAGAAGUGAGGACACUAGCACUGCAACAACAUGGAAAGAUUGUCCUGUCAAGACUGUUUUUCCUUUUCCCAAGGGGAAUGUAUCAACCAGUUAUGAUGUCAAUGCUAGUUUGGACAAAAGAGAAGAAAAGAAGAAAACAGACAUAGGUGAUGUUAGGGUGGCAAUCAAAGAGCAGGUGGAUGAGGUUGGAAGAGCUUUAUACUUUGGGAAGUCUCAGGGGAGUACAGAGCAAAAGAAUUUAAGUGGCUUAAGUUUUUCUCUUGCAUCUGAUAAUCCAAAGGAAGAAUUCCCAAGGCUUCCACCUGUUAAACUCAAGUCAGAAGACAAACCAUUGAACAUUAAUUGGCAGGAACAGUUUGAGCGUGAUGGGCCAGUUGUGAAGCACAGCA